GAACGGGGCACGGAGAGGCCAUCGGAUCCGGUGACACGAGCUCAUUGGCGGCCCGCGAGAACAAAAGUGAACCCAGAAGGACACUCACUGGUCGGCAAGGGGAAGCCAGGUGGAGAUUCGAAAUUUAUGGCAGACAGUCUGCAGAAAGGAUAAAUUGCCCCUGAGGGACCGUGAGCUAAUUGUAUCACGUGGUGCGCCUCGGGCAGGGACAGUCUAGCGGCACAAAACAGAAGCCCACUUGCGCGAGCUCCAGUAAAAAGGGAGAAUUUAUGGGAAGAACAGGAGGCUACCUCGGAGAUUCAAGGGCAGGAAGUGCGGCCGGCCUCUGGGGAAGGGAACCGGCAACUGGGGGGCCGGCAGGCACCUUGGCAGCCCUCUCCUCUCCCGCUCCGUGUCAGAGGCUCUGAGCUCUCUGAUGGCUGCUUUCCUCCGAGGACCUUCUUCCUUCCCAGCUGCCGGUGCUGCUCUGUGCCCAAGGUGGAAGGUGGCUGCUUCGGGUGACCCUCCUCGCUGCGUUCACCCCGCCCUCCCCUGAGCCCACAACUGUGCCUGGCGCACAGCGUUCAAGUAGCCCACGGAGACUGCCUGGAACUGCCUAGGUCCUGAUCUCAUGGCUCAUGGGUUCAAGCCCGCCGUGGGCUCCUCCAAGCGCGGUGGCCCUCGCAUUCUUGAGGCAAAGGUUUAGAGGGAGGAGGAAAGAAAAAAGAAUGAAAUCUGAAAUGCUCCAAAGACGAAGGCCGAAUCGUGCCCUAGCUAUUUUUCACAUCCUCAGCGGGAAGUGUGCACAGCAAGCCUUACCGUCUUC